GCUUGCUUUGGCAGUGCAUACAAUAAAAUUGGAAAGAUACAGAGAAGAUUAGCAUGGCUCCUGUGCAAGAAGGACCUUCAAAUUUGUGAAGUGUUCCAUAUUUUC